GGGAUAACACUUGGAAACAGGUGCUAAUACCGUAUAACACUAUUUCCGCAUGGAAGAAAGUUGAAAGGCGCUUUUGCGUCACUGAUGGGUGGACCCGCGGUGCAUUAGCUAGUUGGUGAGGUAACGGCUCACCAAGGCCACGAUGCAUAGCCGACCUGAGAGGGUGAUCGGCCACACUGGGACUGAGACACGGCCCAGACUCCUACGGGAGGCAGCAGUAGGGAAUCUUCGGCAAUGGACGAAAGUCUGACCGAGCAACGCCGCGUGAGUGAAGAAGGUUUUCGGAUCGUAAAACUCUGUUGUUAGAGAAGAACAAGGAUGAGAGUAAAAUGUUCAUCCCUUGACGGUAUCUAACCAGAAAGCCACGGCUAACUACGUGCCAGCAGCCGCGGUAAUACGUAGGUGGCAAGCGUUGUCCGGAUUUAUUGGGCGUAAAGCGAGCGCAGGCGGUUUCUUAAGUCUGAUGUGAAAGCCCCCGGCUCAACCGGGGAGGGUCAUUGGAAACUGGGAGACUUGAGUGCAGAAGAGGAGAGUGGAAUUCCAUGUGUAGCGGUGAAAUGCGUAGAUAUAUGGAGGAACACCAGUGGCGAAGGCGGCUCUCUGGUCUGUAACUGACGCUGAGGCUCGAAAGCGUGGGGAGCGAACAGGAUUAGAUACCCUGGUAGUCCACGCCGUAAACGAUGAGUAAUAAGUGUUGG
rnacentral:rRNA from 1 species